rnacentral:rRNA from 1 species
AUUGAACGCUGGCGGCAUGCUUUACACAUGCAAGUCGAACGGCAGCGCGGGCUUCGGCCUGGCGGCGAGUGGCGAACGGGUGAGUAAUGCAUUGGAACGUGCCCAGUAGUGGGGGAUAGCCCGGCGAAAGCCGGAUUAAUACCGCAUACGACCUGAGGGUGAAAUCGGGGGACCGAAAGGCCUCGCGCUAUUGGAGCGGCCGAUGUCGGAUUAGCUAGUUGGUGGGGUAAAGGCUUACCAAGGCGACGAUCCGUAGCUGGUCUGAGAGGACGACCAGCCACACUGGGACUGAGACACGGCCAAGACUCCUACGGGAGGCAGAAGUGGGGAAUUUUGGACAAUGGGGGAAACCCUGAUCAAGCCAGGCCGCGUGCGGGAAGAAGGCCUUCGGGUUGUAAACCGCUUUUGUUCGGGAAGAAAUCCUCUGGGCUAAUACCCCGGGGGGAUGACGGUACCGGAAGAAUAAGCACCGGCUAACUACGUG